rfam:Bdellovibrionales bacterium RIFOXYC1_FTLL_39_130 rifoxyc1_full_scaffold_0, whole genome shotgun sequence.
AUUAAGGCCCCUAUGGGGGCCAUCAAAUUAACCAAAGAAGAUAAAG